UACGAAGGGGGCUAGCGUUGCUCGGAAUUACUGGGCGUAAAGCGCUUGUAGGCGGUCCACCAAGUUUGGGGUGACAGUUGCCGACUUAAUCGGCAAAGUGCCUCAAAGACUGGCGGACUUGAGGGCCACAGAGGGACAUGGAACUCCAGGUGUAGUGGUGAAAUGCGUAGAUAUCUGGAAGAACACCAAAGGCGAAGGCAGUGUCCUGGGUGGUCGCUGACGCUGAGAGGCGAAAGCCAGGGGAGCGAACGGG
rnacentral:rRNA from 1 species